AUGCAGACUUCUGAUCUGCACGUCGUCCGGGAGAGGGCAGGAGGCCAGCUCGCCUAUUCAGUUCAGUUCAACGAUUAUGUGAAAUAUUUAACUGCCUAUCUCUUCCAGGCCUGCCCCACUGGCAGGGGCCAAGAGACAAAGAAGAGAAAGGAGCUGCAGUUUUGUAACCCCAGAAGCACCCAGCCCCAGGCUCUGCAAGGGGGGACUCUCCGGCUUGAGAACCUGCUUUCUGCUGAAAGACCACCACUUGCUGAGAACCCCAGGGAUUCACCCUCAAGCUAGGGCCACACCCCCUCUAUUCCUAUCUCCUUUGUGGCUGCCUCUGAACCGUCUGAAGCUCUGUGUGGGAGGGUGAAGACUGGGUAGGGCCCAGGAAACUCAAGGAGAAAUACACAGAAACCACCCCACAGGCCAGUGGCCUCCUUUGUCCUGUUCCCCAGGACAGGCCACUCCAGGGAAAAAGACAGUCACCUUUGCGGUCUGAGCUCUCCCCAGAAACGCCAACAGACGCUAGAAACACCAGGGAGCCCUGCGGGUCCCCCACGCCUACACCCGUGGGGGCUUCCCCCACUCCUGGCCCCUGGUAUUCCCAUUCAGCCAAGCUGAGGAUGUGGGAAGCUUCUCCUGCCACGACAGAGGCACCAUCCUUCCUGCUGCUGGCUCCCAUCGUCCCUCAUGACUCCAAACAUUCUUGGGCCUCCAGUGAGAAGCCAAGCCUGCCACCGGCCGCCCAGCCCUGCUCCUGUCAGCACAGCCUAGGCCUGGAGGAGGGUGGGUGGGGGGGAAUAAGAGGGAGUGAGUGGAGGAGACAGAACAGAGGAGGGGAGGAGACAGCAAUGGGAGAGACAGAACAGAGACACUGAGAGAAACUGAGAAAGAAAAGGAAUGACGUAGGAGAAAAAAGAAAAGGAACUCAUAUUUUAUUGAGUGAAAGCUACGUAUCAUGCAAGUGCCAGGCCCCUGUUAAUUAUAAUCAUUUGGUCAUGCAAACGCUAUCGUUCUUCUUCCCAUUUGGUAGAGAAGGAAACUGAGGCUUGCAGAAGCUGGGUGGGCAUUCUGCUCUUAGAAAAGAGGGCAGGAGAACGCUGAGAGAGAAAAAAGGAGCAGGCAGGCAAAGGAAGAAUGCUGACCAUGAGGAAAGUGGAGGGCUGCAGUGGGAAACAGGCAGAACAGGAGGAAGCAGAGAGGGGUGGGGGAGCUGGCUGCUGGCUGAUGCCCGGCUCGUGGGAGCAGACCUGAGGUAUUCCUGACCUCCUGCCCUUCCCCUCAGGGCCAUCUGACU
rnacentral:lncRNA from 1 species